AUUGAACGCUGGCGGCAGGCCUAACACAUGCAAGUCGAGCGAGCGGCGGACGGGUGAGGAAUGGCGGGGAAACUGCCUGAUGGAGGGGGAUAACGACUGGAAACGGUAGCUAAUACCGCAUACCAUCAGAGGUGCCCAGAUGGGAUUAGCUAGUAGGUGGGGUAACGGCUCACCUAGGCGACGAGCCCUAGCUGGUCUGAGAGGAUGACCAGCCACACUGGAACUGAGACACGGUCCAUACUCCUACGGGAGGCAGCAGUGGGGAAUAUUGCACAAUGGGCGCAAGCCUGAUGCAGCCAUGCCGCGUGUAUGAAGAAGGCCUUCGGGUUGUAAAGUACUUUCAGCGGGGAGGCGUUACCCGCAGAAGAAGCACCGGCUAACUCCGUGCCAGCCGCCGCGGUAAUAC
rnacentral:rRNA from 1 species